rnacentral:rRNA from 2 species
AGGGUUUGAUUAUGGCUCAGGAUGAACGCUGGCGGCGUGCCUAACACAUGCAAGUCGAACGGAAAAUUCGUAGCAAUAUGGAUUUUUAGUGGCGGACGGGUGAGUAACGCGUGAGUAACCUGCCUUUCGGAGGGGGACAACAGCUGGAAACGGCUGCUAAUACCGCAUAAUGUAUAUUGGUGGCAUCAUCGAUAUACCAAAGAUUCAUCGCCGAAAGAUGGACUCGCGUCUGAUUAGCUAGUUGGUAGGGUAACGGCCUACCAAGGCUUCGAUCAGUAGCCGGACUGAGAGGUUGAACGGCCACAUUGGGACUGAGAUACGGCCCAGACUCCUACGGGAGGCAGCAGUGGGGAAUAUUGGGCAAUGGGCGCAAGCCUGACCCAGCAACGCCGCGUGAAGGAAGAAGGCUUUCGGGUUGUAAACUUCUUUGACGAGGGAAGAAAGAAAUGACGGUACCUCGAAAACAAGCCACGGCUAACUACGUGCCAGCAGCCGCGGUAAUACGUAGGUGGCAAGCGUUAUCCGGAUUUACUGGGUGU